rnacentral:rRNA from 1 species
CCUACGGGUGGCUGCAGUGGGGAAUAUUGGACAAUGGGGGCAACCCUGAUCCAGCCAUGCCGCGUGUGUGAAGAAGGCCCUCGGGUUGUAAAGCACUUUCAGUGAGGAAGAACGCCUGGUGGUUAAUACCCAUCAGGAAAGACAUCACUCACAGAAGAAGCACCGGCUAACUCCGUGCCAGCAGCCGCGGUAAUACGGAGGGUGCGAGUGUUAAUCGGAAUUACUGGGCGUAAAGCGCGCGUAGGUGGCUUGAUAAGCCGGUUGUGAAAGCCCCGGGCUCAACCUGGGAACGGCAUCCGGAACUGUCAAGCUAGAGUGCAGGAGAGGAAGGUAGAAUUCCCGGUGUAGCGGUGAAAUGCGUAGAGAUCGGGAGGAAUACCAGUGGCGAAGGCGGCCUUCUGGACUGACACUGACACUGAGGUGCGAAAGCGUGGGUAGCAAACAGGAUUAGAUACCCUGGUAGUC